rnacentral:rRNA from 1 species
AACGAACGCUGGCGGCAUGCCUAACACAUGCAAGUCGAACGGCACCUCCGGUUCUUGCGGCUCACGGGUGCGUACGGAGGGGGAACCUGCCCAUAGGUACGGAAUCACUCCCCGGGGGGGGUGCUAAUACCGCCGAAUUUCUACGGCCCACGGGCUUCUCGCGCUUGGGUGGGCCCGCGUUGGCUUGGCCUGUUGGUAUGGUCAACGCCUACCAAGGCGACAGUCCGUAGCUGGUCUGAGAGGAAGAGCAGCCACACUGGGACUGGGCCACGGCCCAGACUCCUACGGGAGGCAGGAGUGGCUAAUAUAGGACUGUGGGCUAAGGCAUGAUCCAGCUAUGCCGCGUGAGCGAUGAAGGCCGUAGGGUUGUACAGCGCUUUUAUCCGGGCGGAUAAUGACGGUACCGGGAGAAUAAGCUCCGGCUAACUACGUG